rnacentral:rRNA from 1 species
UACGUAGGCAGCAAGCGUUGUUCGGAGUUACUGGGCGUAAAGGGUGCGUAGGCGGCUUUUUAAGUCUGGUGUGAAAUCUCCCGGCUCAACUGGGAGGGUGCGCCGGAUACUGAGGGGCUAGAGUGUGGGAGAGGAAAGUGGAAUUCCUGGUGUAGCGGUGAAAUGCGUAGAUAUCAGGAGGAACACCGGUGGUGUACACGGCUUUCUGGACCAUAACUGACGCUGAGGCACGAAAUCGUGGGUAGCAAACAGG